rnacentral:lncRNA from 1 species
CACUAAACAGUGAUAUAUGCUGUCUUGUUCUCCUUCCUGUCCUUGUUUUUGUUGUCAUCCAUCAUUCGUUUCUCUCUAAGGAACCAUGAGAUAACGACCAUAUAGGAUGGAUAUUGGAUAACGUUUUCCAAUUAACUAUAUAUCUGAGCCCAAGCCACACAUUGUUGCUACUUGCGUGCUGUGUCUAACUAUAACAACGCCAUCCGAUUCUGACAAAUGUGGUCACACUUUCACUAUCAUAUAUUCACAUCUUGUCCUCUAAUUCUAAAAUUUAAUAUUAGAACUAUGUUGUUAUUCAGUAAUAAAUGGUUAUUAUGUAUGGCAAAAUUAUUUCUCAAAUACAGGGUAUAUCUAGUGCAUUUUAUAUCCUAUGAAAAAGUAUAUUGUUAUCUUUUACGGUUUUGUCUAGUGACAAAUCAAAUUUAGUUAUAUCUUUUUGUGUACAUCUUAUUUUACAUCUUGUAAUAUGAUCUACUUUGAUUAUGUUAACAAUAUUAGACUUGAUAUUUCUUUUAAGAUAUUCCUUUUAAUCUUAAAGAUACGUUAGACUUCAUAAAUAUUAGAUCUUAAACAUGAUUCAAAGUCAAGAUGAACAUAUUUCAUUACUCUUUUUCUAAUUAAUAUUUUGAUCCUAUAUUUUGUUUAUCUUAAUCUAUAUGAUUGGUUUACCAUCUAAGACGUUUGUAUAUUGAUAAUUGCUAUUCAAGAGCACAUAAUGCAUCAAAAAGUAGAUGAAAAGUAGCAAUGUGUCUCCAAUUUUAUGGUUUCUUGUGUGAGAUUUAUAAAUAAUUGAUUUCUUGUGAGUUUUACACAGUGGAGGCUUCAUCUUGAUGAUUGAUAUUGUUUUCAUUUGAAUUAUUCAGGUUUCAAGCAAGGAAGAUUUGGAAGUGCAUGUUGAAGAUCUCGCUAAGCAAGGUGACCCGCUAAGCGUGGAAGAGAACUCGCCCAGUACGAAAAAGAACCCUAGAGAAUACAAAGUUAGAGAACAGUGCGCUCAAUGCACAACCAGCUCGUCCAGCGAAGCUUUUGUUGCUUCUCGCGCUUAGCGCAUCCACAUUUGCUCAGCGCCCAGUCACUAACUCUUGCUUAGUGAGACAUUGUUCGCUGAGCGCACAUUCGUAAACUGAGAAGCCCAAAAGUCUUUAAAACUGGAGGAAAGGGGCAAAUGAAAUGACACUUGCAGCGUUAGGCACGAAAAAUAGAGCACCAAGGUUGAAGGAAGACAAGCAAGCUGCUUUCUUCCUAUUUUUGCUUCACCAUUCCAUUUCUACCUUGUUCUUGCCAUUGUAUUUGAGCUCUCCAUGCUAAUGGAGGGCUAAACACUCCAUUGUUAAGGAGUUUUUCACUGAGC